rnacentral:misc_RNA from 1 species
AACGCACAUUGCGCCCCUUGGUAUUCCGGGGGGCAUGCCUGUCCGAGCGUCAUUGCUGCCCUCAAGCACGGCUUGUGUGUUGGGCCCCGUCCUCCUUCCCGGGGGACGGGCCCGAAAGGCAGCGGCGGCACCGCGUCCGGUCCUCGAGCGUAUGGGGCUUUGUCACCCGCUCUUGUAGGCCCGGCCGGCGCUUGCCGACAACCAUCAAUCUUUUUUCAGGUUGACCUCGGAUCAGGUAGGGAUACCCGCUGAACUUAA